AAUAAAUGUAAUGAGAUCAACCAUGAUCUCACCGAAUGGUGGAGGAAAUUCAAUGUGCCAAAUGACUUUUUGAGUGAGUCUUGUUGUUUGACAAUGAAUUCGUAAAGGUGUUUUUUUUGUCUCUUGGAUGAGAUGUAAAAAUGAAAUGUGUACGCUUCCUUUUCAUCUGGCAAUAAAUAAUCGUUCUGAACGAUUUCCAUUGACUAGUGGCAAUCUGACAAGCAUCACGAUGUAAAGAGAUUCUUAGCUUCUUUUUAAUUGUCAAGUUAUUCUUUGGAAUUAAUUCAGCAUAUAUUUUUGCAUCUCAGGAAUUAUAUUCAUCACUGCAUCUCAAAAAGUACUCUGUUGUAUGAUAACAGCAUUUUAAAGAACACUCUUCAAUGGUUGUGAUUUUCAGUUGCCAUAACACACAUUAAAUUACAUUGUUGGCCAAUCUGUCCAUGAUUAUUUCAUUGUCUUACAUUUCAAACAGACAAGGAAAUAUUGGUGAUGCAAUGAAGAGUUUGAUGAUAAAAUAUAAUUACUGUUACGGUUUCCUCUUGGACGAAAUAUUCUCAUCAAAUUGACUGGUGAAGGAAAUGGGACACUGACUUUCCUCAAGCUUUAGCAUAAACUGGUGGAGACUUUCGGCGCUUGCAAAAAGGCUCACCUCUCUUAAUACUGAAGGAAAAUUGGAGUUUAAAAGUAAGUUCAUCCGCUGUCGGGGAAUGAAAUGUUAAUGUUGACUUGAAUAUAAUUUUUAAAAAAGUAAUAUAUUUGUGUAGCACUAAACUCAAAUUAAAAUUUGGAUAUGCCAGUUGACUCCUGUUUGACACUGUAUGGAAUGGCGGUGACAUCAGAUUCAGUGAUGAUUGAGAAUCUAAAGAAUAUGAGGAUAAGAUUUAACAUCCAAAUAUCAUUGAACUCUUCAAGGAAUGUAUUACUGGAAAAGGGGGAAAGCAUGUAUGUCUAUUAGAAUUGAAUACACUCUGAAGGCGGUGGCACAGAUGAAACAGACCUGUGUGCUAAAACUUAUCACAAAUUUCACAUUGAAUGGAGCAGUUUAAACAGGCUGGAGGAAGCAGACAUGCCAGCGCAAACUUUUGAAUUUGUGCAUUCUGUUCAUAAACAUCAGCAAAAUUGUGGGAACCUGUUUAUUCUUUCUCUUUUAUUGCACAGAACCAUACGAUUACACUAAUUUUGAUUAGGAAUUUAAAGAUUAUGAGCCCCGUCCGUUUGACUCGCAGUUUGGUACCAUAGGUUGGUACGAUCUUCGUUCAAGAAGGAAGAGGGAUGUUCCAGACACAGAAAAUCGUCAAACCAUUUUCUACAAAGUCUGUUUCUGCUUAGUAUUAAUUAAUGCAGUUAACAUUUUCAGAUCGACAUGAUUGCAGAAUGGAGUCAAUAAAACAAAUUCCAUCUGAUAUUCAACAUAAAUUUUAAGUUUGGAAUAACAAGCUCACAAGAAAGAUGACCUGGUUUUAGAUAUCACUUGGGACCACAGACUAACAGACAAAGGAACAAAGCAAAACGACUCUGCGAUUUGAUGUAGAAACUCCUGACUCCGAAGCCUGCAGCCGCCCUCCAAUUCUCAAGUCAGAAGUGUGUCAAUGAUGGUGCAGAUCCAACAACACUGGAAACGAUCUUGAGUCUAGACCAAAGCAGCCCCUUGAUUGGCACCGUAUCCAUUCUCUCCACAACUAACUCCAAGACACAAUAAUGUGUCCAUAUACAAGAUGCACUGCCACAUUUUUUUUCCAACUAUUCUUACACCCGCCUUUCCAGACUUAGAAAACUCAUCUUCAAGGUCAAGGACAUCAGACAUGGUAGCACUAAUCCCAGUAAAAAUCACCUCCAAGCUACUCUCAAACUGAUUUGGAAAUGAAUGAUUGUUCCUGAGUCAAUAUUAGUAAUCUCUUUUGGAACAGCAUUGUGGGCCUGUCUACAGCAACAUGAAGCUGUUCAAGAAGUCAAUUUGUGCUGGACAAUCAGCAACAGCUAUGUCUCAUUAAAGAAUAAAUAAAUCGGAAAGAAAUCCAUCUGAGAGUCACAAGCAAA